rnacentral:rRNA from 1 species
GACAGAGGUGGCGAGCGUUGUUCGGAAUCACUGGGCUUAAAGGGCGAGUAGGCGGUAGGGCAAGUCUGAGGUGGAAUCCUAUGGGUCAACCAUAGAACUGCCUUGGAAACUGUUCUACUUGAGUCAGUGAGGGGAGGGCGGAAUUCCCGGUGUAGCGGUGAAAAGCGUAGAUAUCGGGAGGGAGGCCGGUGGCGAAGGCGGCCCUCUGGCGCUGUACUGGCGCUGAGGCGGGAAAACGUGGGGAGCAAACAGG